rnacentral:rRNA from 1 species
AGAGUGAACGCUGGCGGUAGGCCUAACACAUGCAAGUCGAACGGCAGCACGGUAAGAGCUUGCUCUUAUGGGUGGCGAGUGGCGGACGGGUGAGGAAUACAUCGGAAUCUACCUUUUGGUGGUGGAUAACGUAGGGAAACUUACGCUAAUACCGCAUACGCCCUUCGGGGGAAAGCCGGGGACCAGCAAUGGCCUGGUGCUGAUAGAUGAGCCGAUGUCGGAUUAGCUAGUUGGUGAGGUAAUGGCUCACCAAGGCACGAUCCGUAGCUGGUCUGAGAGGAUGAUCAGCCAC